UGGGGAGUAUUGCGCAAUGGGCGAAAGCCUGACGCAGCAACGCCGCGUGGGUGAUGAAGCUUCUCGGAGCGUAAAACCCUGUCAGGGGGGACGAAACAGUGGAGGGUGAAUAACCCUUCACCUUGACGGUACCUCCAAAGGAAGCCCCGGCUAACUCCGUGCCAGCAGCCGCGGUAAUACGGGGGGGGCAAGCGUUGUUCGGAAUCACUGGGCGUAAAGGGCGUGUAGGCGGUCCGGUAAGUCGGUUGUGUAAUCCCUCGGCUCAACUGAGGAAUUGCGGUCGAAACUGCUGGACUAGAGUGCUGGAGAGGAAAGCGGAAUUCCUAGUGUAGCGGUGAAAUGCGUAGAUAUUAGGAGGAACACCAGUGGCGAAGGCGGCUUUCUGGACAGUAACUGACGCUGAGGCGCGAAAGCGUGGGGAGCAAACAGG
rnacentral:rRNA from 1 species